CAAAAUUUAUUAUAGACAUAUGCAUCGACAACCGCCCUUUUAAAGUUUUUACAAAUAGAAAGGAAGAGGGGGUUGGAGAUCUCGAAUGUGGUGAUGUUGGAGAGACCAAUGGAUUGUGAAGAUGUUGCAUAUGAGCAUGGAGUAAAUGAAGUGGCUAUGAAAUAAAUUCCAUGCUCAUUAAAGCUUAGAGUGUAAUCCAUGUGGUAUGGUGAAAGUGAUAAGG
rnacentral:lncRNA from 1 species